rnacentral:misc_RNA from 1 species
GGGUGGGGUUGGUGGGGCGGCGCCCGGGUUAGAGAGAGAGAUCAAUAAGAAAGUUGGCUAAUUUUGACAAAAAUGAGAUGAUAACAUAGGCCCUUAGCCGUCAAUUAUGACAUCCUAACACAUAUGUUAGAACUGCCAACUAGCCAAGUCCAAGUCAUGCACUAUCCUCUUCAACUCGCCUAUCCUAUUGGAAUAUUGAUUCUAAACGAUAAGGUCAAUUAACAUGGUAUCUAAUGCCAUCAAAUUUUCUACAUUCUCAUUCUACUCCUAAUUUUAUUGACAUAACAUAUAUAUACAUAGCAAUACAUAUGCCUAGCUAUGAUUUCUAAGGGUGUGCAUUAUUUGUUUAACAUCGAAUAAUCAAACCAAUGAAAUUCAAUUA